rnacentral:rRNA from 1 species
UACGGGGGGGGCAAGCGUUGUUCGGAAUUACUGGGCGUAAAGGGCUCGUAGGCGGCCAACUAAGUCAGACGUGAAAUCCCUAGGCUCAACCUAGGAACUGCGUCUGAUACUGGAUGGCUUGAAUCCGGGAGAGGGAUGCAGAAUUCCAGGUGUAGCGGUGAAAUGCGUAGAUAUCUGGAGGAAUACCGGUGGCGAAGGCGGCAUCCUGGACCGGCAUUGACGCUGAGGAGCGAAAGCUAGGGGAGCAAACAGGGG